rnacentral:rRNA from 1 species
CCUACGGGAGGCAGCAGUGAGGAAUAUUGGUCAAUGGACGAGAGUCUGAACCAGCCAAGUAGCGUGAAGGAUGACUGCCCUAUGGGUUGUAAACUUCUUUUAUAAGGGAAUAAAACGAGGCACGUGUGCCUUUUUGCAUGUACUUUAUGAAUAAGGAUCGGCUAACUCCGUGCCAGCAGCCGCGGUAAUACGGAGGAUCCGAGCGUUAUCCGGAUUUAUUGGGUUUAAAGGGAGCGUAGAUGGGUUGUUAAGUCAGUUGUGAAAGUUUGCGGCUCAACCGUAAAAUUGCAAUUGAUACUGGCAGUCGUGAGUACAGUUGAGGUAGGCGGAAUUCGUGGUGUAGCGGUGAAAUGCUUAGAUAUCACGAAGAACCCCGAUUGCGAAGGCAGCUUACUAAACUGUGACUGACAUUGAUGCUCGAAAGUGUGGGUAUCAAACAGGAUUAGAUACCCGAGUAGUC